rnacentral:rRNA from 1 species
UACGUAGGGUGCGAGCGUUGUCCGGAAUUAUUGGGCGUAAAGAGCUUGUAGGUGGCUCGUUGCGUCGGGAGUGAAAACCUGCGGCUUAACCGCAGGCCUGCUUCCGAUACGGGCGAGCUAGAGUUCGGCAGGGGAGACUGGAAUUCCUGGUGUAGCGGUGGAAUGCGCAGAUAUCGGGAGGAACACCGGUGGCGAAGGCGGGUCUCUGGAACGCAACUGACGCUGAGACGCGAAAGCGUGGGGAGCAAACAGG